rnacentral:lncRNA from 1 species
UGUGGUUUCACAGUCAUUUUAGUGCCCCGUGGUUCAAAGUGUAUUAAUUUCACUAAUUUUUUUAUUAUCAAUUUUAUUAUUUUUUUUGUUAAAUUUAUGAUAAAGUUAAAAUUAAGAGAUACUAAAGUGAAUAUUCGAUAAAUCUAAAUGAACUAUCUGAAGUGUUUUGUAUAUAAUUUAACAAAAUAUUAACGAAAAAACUGACGAAAAGAUAAAAAUGAAACUACAAGACACUAACUUAAUACACUUUAAACCGUAGGGUACUAAAGUGAGAAAGUACGAAACUACAGGGGUGGUGUUUGAAGUUUACCCUAAUUAAAAUUAAAAUUAAAAUUUUGGUUCAUUUCUUUUAGAAUUAAUUUCAUACAAAUCGCUACAAAUAUAAUAUUCUAUGAAAUUCAAUUUUCAUGUAUUGUUCUUAUAAAAAGUCUAAUAUUUUAAAUAUAUCCAUUUGAUUUGUUACCGUCAAAAUAAUAUUUAUUUAUAAAUAAAAUGACCUUUUUACCAUUAUAAAUAUAUCGCUCUAAAAUUCCAACUAUUAAUUAAAGAAGGGUAAGAAGGUCAAUCCACUUAAUUAAUUAAUUCGGAUUAAGUGUUUUAUCUAUGAUUAAUUAAUAUUUUCUAGUGGACCCUAACGGUCU